UACGUAGGGGGCAAGCGUUGUCCGGAAUCAUUGGGCGUAAAGAGCGUGUAGGCGGCCAGAAAAGUCCGCUGUGAAAACUCGAGGCUCAACUUCGAGCUGUCGGUGGAAACUUUCUGGCUAGAGUCCGGAAGAGGAGAAUGGAAUUCCUGGUGUAGCGGUGAAAUGCGCAGAUAUCUGGAGGAACACCGGUGGCGAAGGCGGCAUCCUGGACCGGCAUUGACGCUGAGGCGCGAAAGCCAGGGGAGCAAAGCGGG
rnacentral:rRNA from 1 species